rnacentral:lncRNA from 1 species
UUCAUGUUGUUCAACGUGUUUUUGGACUAAUAGGCCAUAUGCACAUCUAGUUAUCAUGAGUCAUUUAGAGAUUUUGCCACAAUCUCAUUGAAGUGGCCCCACUCCACACUCGUAUAGUAAUUUCAUAAAGUGUACACUUUAUCUUUGUAAACCACGCUAAAGGCUAUGGAAUACAUUAAGAGUUUAACUCAACCUCACGUUAAAAUUGCAAUUAAGCACUAAUCACACACAAUAGGUAGGACUUUGUUAAUUGUGUAGUGCGUCAGUGUCAUCAAGUGACUUGUUAUUACCCACGUGAACCUAAUUCAUGGGGAUCUCCAAUCACAUAGAUCGGGUUACCAUCAACAUUGAUAUGUCAUAUAGGUUUUAGUCCCAUUUUCCUCGAUUUUUCAAAAAUUAAUUUUUUUUCCCAAUGGUUUAGUCAAAGGAAUGGCCAAAUUCACAUAAUCAUAGUAAAUCAACAUAGAUGGUGUCGGUUACAUUCCUAGAGGAAUCUUGGCCAUUAGCCUCACUACCAACUAAUUCUAGAGUUAUAAACUCAGAUUCCAUGAUGGAUCUAGCAAUAAUAAUUUGUUUGGAUGAUUUCCACGCCCUGCCAAGAAUGAAGACAUGACCACUAGUGGAUUUAGUCUCUUUUAAAUCAUAAAUCCAAUUCGCAUCAUUGUAUCCGUUCAAUACAGUAGGAAAUCUACUAUAUAGAAUACCGUAGUUCAUAGUACCUCUUGAAUAUUUCAUUAAUCUGACUAAUCCAGCAUAAUGAUCACGAUUAGGAUUAUGAGUACAUCUACUCAGUCUGUACACAACAUAAGCUAUGUCAAAUCUAGAAGAGUCCAUCAAAUGCAUCAGGCUUCCAAUAAUUCGAGCAUAUUUAGUAUUAGCGAUUUGGUCUCCCCGAUUUUUCUUUAAUUGAGUAUUUGCAUCAUAAGGAGUAUCCACAUAUGUCACAUCGAAGUGAUCAAACUUCCUGAGAAGUUUCUCUACAUAAUGUUGUUGUGACAAUAUCCAUUGUCUUUCCUUAUGAUUAUAACACCCAAAAUCACACUAGCUUCACACGUCUUUCAUAUCAAAUUUUGAAGUUAGAAAACAUUUAGUACUUUGCACUACAUGAAUGCUAGUACCAAAUAUAGGCAUAUCAUCCACAUAUAAAGUAAUAAUCACAUAUUCAUUAUUAGCAACUUUUGUAUAAACACACUUAUCCACAUCAACCGAUGAGAAAAUAUUACUCAAUGUAACUUGAUCAAGUUUCUCAUGCCAUUAUUUUGGUGCUUAUUUAAAAUCGUAUAUGGACUUUCUCAAUUUACACGCUUUAUUAUCUAAUCCAGGAGCUAUAUAGCCAUCAGGUUGCACCGUAUAAGUGUCUUCUUCUAAAUCACCAUUCAAAAAAGUUGUUUUGACAUUUAUUUGAUGUAUUAAAAGCUCAUAAAUAGGAGCUAAGGCAAUUAAAACAUAUAUUGAAGAAAUUCUAGUUACUAGGGCAAAAAUAUCAAAAUAAUCAACCUUUUGUUUUUGUGUAAAAUCUUUUGCAAUUAGUCUAACUUUAUAUUUAUCAAUCAAACCUUUAGGAAAACAUUUUUGUCUUAAAAAUUCAUUUGCAACCAAUGAGACUUAUUCUAAGAGGUAAGUCAACUAAUUCCCAAGUCUGAAUUUUGUAAAAGUGACAUAAUCUCAUUACCAAUAAGUUCUUUUCAAAGUGCUGAAUUAGAAGAUGAGACAGUAUCAAAGUAAGUGAUUGGGUCAGCAUCAAUAGGAUAAGUGACAGUCAUCUCCAAAGGAAAUUUCUUUCCUAGCUCUCUUACUCCUUAUUAAUUCCUCGUUAAAGGUCACGUCAACACUUUCAUUUGUGUUUCGAUUGACAGAUGCAUGAAAAUUCUCUUCAGACAAUGGAUGAAUAUGCUCAAAGAAUUUAGCAUUCCUUGUUUCAACAAUAGUGUUGCAAUCAAGAAUAUCACUUUUUCAAUCAAGAAAUCUAUAUGCAGCGCUAUGUUCAACAUAACCAAUAAACAUACAAUUAGUUCUAGAACCUAUUUUUCUAUUCUUAGGUUCAGGUAGCAUAACCUUAACAAGAUAACCCCCACACUUCUUUAAUUAUUUUAAGCUAGGAGUAUAAUCCAUUCACAGUUCAUAAGGUGUCUUACCAAUUUUCUUAUAGGAAAUUCUAUUUUGUAAGUGAUGCGGAUACGAUAGCUUUCCCCACAAGUUAUUAGGUGCAUAAUACACAGCAUUCAUCAUUUAUUUUAGUGUUCUAUUCUUUCUUUCAACUACACCAUUUGAUUCUGGGGAAUAAAGAAUAGUUUUAUGAAUUAUACCUUCCUUUUCACAAAUUCAUUUCUUGGUAAAAAAUUUCCUUCUCUAUAUAAUCUAACUCUUUUUAUUUUUCUAUUUAGUUGAUUUUCAACCAGCUUUAUAAAUUAGAUAUAUACCAAAAGUUUCAUCCUUAUUUCUAAGUAAACUUUAGUGUAUCUUGAGCAAUUAUCUAUAAAAGUCACAUAAUAUUUCUUUCCACAUCUAGUCAUCAUUUGUUUUAAAUCACUUAAAUCAGCAUGAAUUAAACUUAAUAACUCACUGUCCCCAUGAACAGGUGUACAUGUUUUCUUCGUCUGCUUAGUCUCAGUACAACCUUCACAUUUAUUUAUGCGUGUAGAGCCAGAAUUAGAUAUCAUACCAAUGACAACAUUUUUUUUAAUAUAUGGUAUACUAAAAUAACCUAACCUAGCAUGUCGUCGAGUAAAUAGAAGAUAAUCUAGCAUUUUCAUUAUUGACAUUGUGGACAUUCAGUACAAAUAACCCUGGAGUAUAGUAACCUUUCCCAACAAAAUCAUUAUUUUUGGUCAUUACAAUCUUGUCAGAUUCGAAUGACACUCUAACCCCUGCUUUCCCUAAUAGAGACACAUAUAUUAAAUUUGCUCUAAUGUUAGGUAUAUGUAGCACUUAUGCUAUGUUUGAUUGGUUCAAAUUUCAUGAAAAAUGAAAUUCAAAUUUCACUUUCUUUCAAUUUUGUUUGUUUGAUAGGUUUUGAAUUCCAUGGAAUUUGGUUUCUUGAUUUUCUUGGAACUUGAAAUUUUCUUGGUUUUCCGUGGUGGGAAUUGGUUUUUUAGUUCCCUGUUACGUUUUUUUUUUAGUUUUUUUUAAGUAAU